rnacentral:misc_RNA from 1 species
GAUGAAGAACGUAGCGAAAUGCGAUACGUAAUGUGAAUUGCAGAAUUCAGUGAAUCAUCGAGUCUUUGAACGCACAUUGCGCCCGCCAGUAUUCUGGCGGGCAUGCCUGUCCGAGCGUCAUUUCAACCCUCGAACCCCUCCGGGGGGUCGGCGUUGGGGAUCGGGAACCCCUAAGACGGGAUCCCGGCCCCGAAAUACAGUGGCGGUCUCGCCGCAGCCUCUCCUGCGCAGUAGUUUGCACAACUCGCACCGGGAGCGCGGCGCGUCCACGUCCGUAAAACACCCAACUUCUGAAAUGUUGACCUCGGAUCAGGUAGGAAUACCCGCUGAACUUAAGCAUAUCAAUAAGCGGAGGA